AGGGUGUUAAUAUCUCUGAAGUUAUCAGCCUCCGGCUUCUUUGACGGGUGACUGAUACGAUUGAGAUGUUGGUUCGUAUGUGACAUAAAGGUGUUUGUGGAUGUGACACGGACACCAGCAAUGGUAAAGAAAUAGCCACCAAUGUGUAUUUUGAUUAUCUAUCCUUCCCCUCA